rnacentral:misc_RNA from 1 species
AAGUCGUAACAAGGUUUCCGUAGGUGAACCUGCGGAAGGAUCAUUAGUGUAUUUUACUAUACCCUUACCACCAAACAUGUGUGAACUAUUUGUUUUUUAUGUCUUUGCCGGGUGAGGCGCGGGAAAAGCGCGUAGCGCGUAUGAGCGCGCGCCGCCCCCUCUCCCCUCCUCUCCGGCGACCCCAUUAUUCAAACAUUGUUUUAUAUACAAAUGCCAUGUAGACUCGUAAAACAUACAAAACGAUUGUUUUUUUUUUAUUAUAAAUUAUAAAAACAACUUUUGGCAACGGAUCUCUUGGCUCCCA